GGAUUGUGGCUCAGUGACAGAGCGCUUGCCUCACAUACACGAGGCACUGGGUUCAAUCCUCAGCACCA
rnacentral:tRNA from 1 species